CCACCAAGCCAAUGACGCCUAGCUGGUCUGAGAGGAUGAUCAGCCACACUGGAACUGAGACACGGUCCAGACUCCUACGGGAGGCAGCAGUGGGGAAUAUUGCACAAUGGAGGAAACUCUGAUGCAGCAACGCCGCGUGGAGGAUGACGCAUUUCGGUGUGUAAACUCCUUUUAUAUGGGAAGAUAAUGACGGUACCAUAUGAAUAAGCACCGGCUAACUCCGUGCCAGCAGCCGCGGUAAUACGGAGGGUGCAAGCGUUACUCGGAAUCACUGGGCGUAAAGCGCGCGCAGGCGGCCUUUUAAGUUGGAUGUGAAAGCCUACGGCUCAACCGUAGAACUGCAUCCAAAACUAUUGGGCUAGAGUGUGGGAGAGGAAGAUGGAAUUAGUUGUGUAGGGGUAAAAUCCGUAGAGAUAACUAGGAAUACCAAAAGCGAAGGCAAUCUUCUGGAACAUUACUGACGCUGAGGCGCGAAAGCGUGGGGAGCAAACAGGAUUAGAUACCCUGGUAGUCCACGCCCUAAACGAUGAAUGUUAGUCGUCGGGUAGCUAGUCUAUUCGGUGAUGCGGCUAACGCAUUAAACAUUCCGCCUGGGGAGUACGGUCGCAAGAUUAAAACUCAAAGGAAUAGACGGGGACCCGCACAAGUGGUGGAGCAUGUGGUUUAAUUCGAAGAUACGCGAAGAACCUUACCUAGCCUUGACAUAUAUUAGAACACCCUAGAGAUAGAGUGGUGCCUUCGGGAGCUUUUAUACAGGUGCUGCACGGCUGUCGUCAGCUCGUGUCGUGAGAUGUUGGGUUAAGUCCCGCAACGAGCGCAACCCUCGUCACUAGUUACUAACGGUUCGGCCGAGGGCUCUAGUGAGACUGCCUUCGUAAGGAGGAGGAAGGUGAGGACGACGUCAAGUCAUCAUGGCCCUUACGGCUAGGGCAACACACGUGCUACAAUGGCCAGGACAAUGAGACGCGAUACCGCGAGGUGGAGCAAAUCUAUAAACCUGGUCUCAGCUCGGAUUGUAGUCUGCAACUCGACUACAUGAAGCUGGAAUCACUAGUAAUCGUAGAUCAGCUAUGCUACGGUGAAUACGUUCCCGGGUCUUGUACUCAUCGCCCGUCACACCAUGGGAGUUGAUUUCACCCGAAGCGGGGAAGCUAAACUGGCUACCCUCCACGGUGGAAUCAGCGACUGGGGUGAAGUCGUAACAAGGUAACCGUACUAGUAC
rnacentral:rRNA from 1 species